CCGUGCAUGCUCCCAACCUUACGCUGUUACGUCGCUAUCUCUUAGCGGAUGCAGGAUGAAUGAUCAGCUUUUACCAGCUCCCUUGAACACUGAACUUAGGAAAUUGGACGAACCGUGGUUCGGACAUCCUUACACAUCUCACAUUUGUCAGUUUGACGUUUUUCCAAG